AUGACUAUCGGCCCAUAGAUCUGCUGUGCCAGUGCAUUGAGUAAGUGAAAGACUGGAUGUGCCGAAAUUUCCUUCAGCUAAAUGAGGAUAAAACAGGGAUAAAUGUAUUUGGUGCUAAAACGGAAUGGCUUAAAGUAACCCAACACCUUCACUCUCUGGCCCUGAAAACCUCAAUCAAAGCCAGAAAUCUAGGGGUUAUCAUGGAUUCUGAUUUACAUUUCGAAAGUCACAUCAAAUCAGUUACAAAAUCUGCAUAUUAUCACCUUAAAAAUGUAGCAAGACUUAGAGGGCUCAUGUCCACCCAAGACUUACAAAAACUUGUACAUGCCUUUAUCACUAGUAAGCUUGAUUACUGCAAUGGUCUCCUUACAGGUCUCCCAAAACAAACUCUAAGGAAGCUUCAGCUUGUUCAGAAUGCUGCUGCUAGAGUUUUAACAAAGACCAAAAUAUUCAAACAUAUUACACCAAUUCUUAAAUCGUUACAUUGGCUUCCUGUAGGCCUGAGAAUUGAUUUUUAAAUCAUGUUGCUAACCUAUAAAUCCCUACAUGGUUUAGGCCCAAAAUAUUUAACUGAUAUGCUUCCACUUCAUAAGCCUUCUAGAACAUUAAGAUCUUCUGAGACCAAUCUGUUAAUUAUCCCCAGAGUAAACACGAAACAUGGGAAAGCAGGAUUUAGUUACUAUGCAACAAAUAGCUGGAAUAAACUCCCAUAGGAUUUAAGACUUGCCCCAACUCUGAGCACCUUUAAAACAAGAUUGAAGACUUUUAUGUUUGCUUUAGCUUUCUGCUAAAUCUUUAAUACUUUGCCUUUAUUUUACUAAAAUGCCUUUUUAACUUUCCCUUUAUUUUCUAUUUUUACCAGAAAGAUACAUGAUCUGAUACCAGAGAGAAAGGUUGUAUAAGGGUUAGAGUCCUGAGUUUUGUAUUUGUAUAAGGGUUAGAGUCCUGAGUUUGUAUUUGUAUAAGGGUUAGAGUCCUGAGUUUGUAUUUGUAUAAGGGUUAAAGUCCUGUGUUUGUGUGUGGGUGGAAUUCUGAGACCGAGCUCCGUGGGAGACGUUUCCAAGUUCUGUCUGGGUUAGAGUCCUAGAAUCUGGAUUGGAGUUCCAGAGAUAGGACCAAGUUCCUUUAGGUCGGGUUGGAGUCCCGACUUGGGUUCCAGAGAAACUGUUGAUUUGAUCUUAAAUACAUUGCAUUUUAAAUUUUACUUACUAAAAGGGCUUUUUAACUUUCAAUUUAAUUUUCUAUUUUUACCAGAAAGAUACAUGAUCUGAUACCAGAGAGAAAGGAUAAGGGUUACUAGAAUCUGGGUUGGAGUCCCAGCGCGGAUACCAGAGAGACUGUUGAUCUGAUCUUAAAUACAUUGCACUUUCUAUUUUACUCAUUUCUUUGCAUAUGUUUUCUUUUACUUAUCUAUUAUUUUAUUUUAUUGUAUGACAAUGUUUAUAUGUGAAGCACUUUGAGUCUGCCUUGUGUAUGAAAAGUGCUAUAUAAAUAAAGUUGCCUUGCCUUG